CCCAAACUCUGUCCUUAAGGUCUUUAGGCCAGAAAGAUUGUGGCUUAUCUAUCAGAGUUUUAGAUGCCCUUCAUCUAAACUAGGACCUGUGUCAAUCUACGUUUAAAUCACACUCCCAACUGGAAAUAUUUCACAGUGGUACGUAGGCAUCAUCGAGAUCAAUAAAAGGACAUCUCAGGAAGAACCCCUGGUUCCAUCCUAUACCCACAGCUGACCAGAGGGGCGAUGACAUCCCUCUCUGCAAGCUCACCGAGAGCAGACACCAAAACUUGCUCCCCCAGCAUGUCCUCAGCACUAGGCAUAGGGAAUGUUUGAUAACACUUGCAGGAAUAAGUUCCAGUAUUACAGUGCCACUUCUUAUAAGCGUACGUGAGUCUGAGGACUACAGACGUGUUUCCAGUUCAGAGGCAAACAUCCCAGGAGUUGUUGGCACCCCUCCGUUCUGGAGCCCGGUCUAUGCAAGUGGGCCUCAUUUUGAAUGAUCAGCCCUCUCCUCUGCCCAACUCAGUUGUUCUCAGCCUCGACUGCACAUUAGACCCACCUGUGGAGCCUUUGCAAGUCAUGCUCUCCUCGCUUCUCCAUCUCCUCAGACCAAUUUGAUGGUAAUCUCGGGGGGAUAGGAUCUAGGCAGGGUGGGAUUUUGUGAAAAGCUCCAGAUAUG
rnacentral:lncRNA from 1 species